ACAUGAGCAGUUGGCCCUUAGAUCAUGAGACCAGCUAAAGUGCCCAAGGAAAUGGAACAGCAGGGAGAGGGGACAUCACACACACCACCAAAACCUCUUCUUCAUCAUGGCCUAUGAACAGCCAAAGGGUAAAAUGAUCAGAAAACUGGACAGUUUUUGACAGUCUACUAUUUUCAGAGAAGAGAAUGUCCCAGCUAGAAAUGCAAGUGGACGAGUGCCAACCCGAUGAGGCCAAUGAUUUGCGAGUGGAGACCUCUGAGGAACUUGGUAAAGAAAGCAGGGCUUUGGCCUUCGCCCGGGAGGCUUGGGACCCCUGACCACCCCCUGCCCCAUCACCAAUAAACAGACAGGAAGGAGGAAUUCAGGGACAGCCUUCAGAAAGGAGUGGCUAUCCACUGGCCACAGCGAUGACUAAAGAGAGGUUCAUGCCACAGCAGAACACAAACGGCGCCAAAGCUGUCUAAAGCAGACACUGAGUUUAUUAUUUGCUGAAGAAGGGGAGUGACCCAUUUCAUUAAGAAAGGUCAGAACAGCUCUCCAAACUGAAGGUAAACAGGACGGACACACUGUGGAAAAGAGGACAUUUUGUUUAAAGGUCUGAUUGGCUUAAUUGUAAACUCUCUUGAGGGAGUGGCUGCUGUUCUGGUUGUGUGUCACAGAGACUUGAGAACAGCUCGCAGGAGAUCCUGGAUGAUCUGACCUGUGGUGCACGGCCCUGGCAGCCUGGUGUCUGUGCCUCCUCUCGUUGAGAUGAGAUUUUUCUCUGGCACCCACUUGGGUUAAGAGUGAGAAGCCCUGGGGCCCAUGGGCCUGCUGCAUGACUCUGUACCCAUCACCUGGCACAUAUGCAGACUUCCUGGUCACAGGGAUGAGGAAACCACAUGAAAAGCAGUUGGAGAAAUUUGUUACCAUGCAGCCAUCCUAUUUUCUAAACAGGAAAACUGAGUUGCAGAGAGCGAAGCCCCAGUAAGUUGGAGGAUAGAUGAUUAAAAUGCUGCUGAAUAAGGGAGAAAAAGGCAAACUGGAAAGACCUAACCCCAAAUUAGUCAUGUCCAAAUCCUGGUAGGAAGAUUACAAGAGAUUUUUAUUUUCUCUCC
rnacentral:lncRNA from 1 species